rnacentral:rRNA from 1 species
UACAGAGGGUGCGAGCGUUGUUCGGAAUACUGGGCGUAAAGCGCGCGCAGGCGGCCUUUUAAGUCUCGUGGUGAAAUGCCGGGGCUCAACCCCGUGCCCGCCGGAGAUACUGGGAGGCUGGAGACGAGUAGAGGCAAGCGGAAUUCCGGGGUGUAGCGGUGGAAUGCGUAGAGAUCCGGAAGAACACCGGAGGCGAAGGCGGCUUGCUGGGCUCAUGUCUGACGCUGAGGCGCGAAAGCGUGGGGAGCGAACAGG